GACGAACGCUGGCGGCGUGCUUAACACAUGCAAGUCGAACGGAAAGGCCCUGCUUUUGUGGGGUGCUCGAGUGGCGAACGGGUGAGUAACACGUGAGUAACCUGCCCUUGACUUUGGGAUAACUUCAGGAAACUGGGGCUAAUACCGGAUAGGAGCUACUGCUGCAUGGUGGGGGUUGGAAAGUGUCGGCGGUUGGGGAUGUACUCGCGGCUUAUCAGCUUGUUGGUGGGGUAGUUGCUUACCAAGGCUUUGACGGGUAGCCGGCCUGAGAGGGUUGCCGGCCACAUUGGGACUGAGAUACGGCGCAGUAUCCUACGGGAGGCAGCAGUGGGAAAUAUUGCAGAAUGGGCGGAAGCCUGAUGCAGCAACGCCGCGUGCGGGAUGCCGGCCUUCGGGGUGUAAACCGAUUUCGACUGUGCCGAAGCGUGAGUGACGGUAAUGGGUAAAGAAGCACCGGCUAACUACGUG
rnacentral:rRNA from 1 species